CACUUUGAACUAGCCAGACACACCUGGCCCUUCACAAGAUUAGUGCUUAGGACAAGUCUAAGUAGAAAAAGUGAGUCCAUUUAAAGAAAAAUAUUAAGUAAAAAUAUAUAUAUACAGGAGGAAUAUGGAUAUGGCAAAUAACAUGAAGCCAGAACCUAAGUGACUAAAAUCGAGGAAGUUCUGGCCUAGCACAGAGUGAACGUAUAAUUAAUGGGAGCUAGAGCAACCAUUAGAAUAAUAAUGGCCAGAAAACAGAACUGACUCGCUAGGUAUGAGCCAGCAGUCCGAACAAGGGCCUGCUGAGCACAGUGGCUCACAGCUGUAAUCCCAGUGCUUUAGGAGGCUGAGGCUGGAGGACCACUAGAGGCUAGAAAUUUGAGACCAGCCUGGGCAACAUAGCGAGACUCCAUUUAUACAAAAAAAUGGAAAAUAUGAGGCGGGCUUGGUGGCACAUGCCUGUAGUCCCCGCUACUUGGGAGGCUGAGGCGGGAGGAUUGCUUGAGCCUGGGAGGUCGCGGCUGCAGUGAGCUAUGAUUGCACCACUGCAUUCCAGCCUGGAUGCUGGAGAAAGACCCUGUCUCUGAAAAAAAUCAAAACAAAAUGAAGGCCCAUGAAUAGGAACAAGGAGAUAAAUUCAGCUCCAAAGAAGGAAGCCUUUGUCCACAAUUGGAGCUCUCCCGCACAGCGUAGAAGCCUUAGAGGCAGUGAGCUACCCAUCUUUGGAAGUGUUCAAAGGUAGAGGUGUUCCCUGGGAAAAGUGGCCUAGAUGGUCCCUGGGGACCUUCCCAGCCAGUAGGGUUUUCUGACCCUGCCUUCAUCCUACUCCUAGCUAUUUCUUGUUGCUCACAUCUCCUGAGGCCCAGGACCCUGGAGGGGAAGAAGAGGCAGAGAGCGCAGCCCGGCAGCCCCUCAUAAGAACCGAGGCCCCGGAGUCGAAGCCAGGCUCCAGCUCCAGCCUCUCCCUUCGGGAAAGGUGGACAGUGUUCAAGGUUCGGAUGAUGGCUGGGGUAUGUCCCUGUGGGGCUUGCUCACCUCCAGGCCCCCCGCUUAUAUCUUCUGCCUUUUCCAGGGUCUGCUGUGGUACAUUGUUCCCUUGGUCGUAGUUUACUUUGCCGAGUAUUUCAUUAACCAGGGACUUUUUGAACUCCUCUUUUUCCGGAACACUUCCCUGAGUCACGCUCAGCAAUACCGCUGGUACCAGAUGCUGUACCAGGCUGGCGUCUUUGCCUCCCGCUCUUCUCUCCGCUGCUGUCGCAUCCGUUUCACCUGGGCCCUGGCCCUGCUGCAG
rnacentral:sRNA from 1 species